rnacentral:rRNA from 1 species
AACGAACGCUGGCGGCAGGCCUAACACAUGCAAGUCGAGCGAGAUCUUCGGGUCUAGCGGCGGACGGGUGAGUAACGCGUGGGAAUAUGCCCUUCUCUGCGGAAUAGCCUCGGGAAACUGAGCGUAAUACCGCAUACGCCCUUUGGGGGAAAGAUUUAUCGGAGAAGGAUUAGCCCGCGUUGGAUUAGGUAGUUGGUGGGGUAACGGCCUACCAAGCCGACGAUCCAUAGCUGGUUUGAGAGGAUGAUCAGCCACACUGGGACUGAGACACGGCCCAGACUCCUACGGGAGGCAGCAGUGGGGAAUCCUAGACAAUGGGGGCAACCCUGAUCUAGCCAUGCCGCGUGAGUGAUGAAGGCCUUAGGGUUGUAAAGCUCUUUCAGCUGGGAAGAUAAUGACGGUACCAGCAGAAGAAGCCCCGGCUAACUCCGUG